UCUAACUCAAGUAAUGUAAGGACUUUUGUAGCCUCUACAAACCAGUAAUGAAAGAUAUCUAUGGAAGCUCCAAAAGACCUUAAGAGGAAAACUGAAUCACCCAAUCAGAAGACCAGCAAUAAUGACCUAAAGUACUUUCUCCUGACCUCAUGGAGUCUGAAUAUCAACUAUCCUCCAAUUUUCUAGUAGAGUUUUCCUCACCCUUACCUACCUUCCCAAUUCUCUGCCCCCAACUAGCAUGAUUUAGAACCAGUCUCUAGAUCUAGGCUUUCCUAUCCCUUUAUCCAAUGCCUAGUCCUGCUAGAUGCCAAUAAAGGACCCUACAAUAAAUAAUCCAUCAGACUUAUCAGUUGGGGGAAAAGUGCUCCAUUUCCUCUGGGGUCUGAGGAAGAUGCUCAAUUUCAUCAAGAAGCCCAACGAACCUAUUUACAUCAUUCCCUCUGGCUACCCUUCAUUUGUAAAAACAGUUCCGGGAUAAGAUAGCCUCAGAGUAAAAACAAAGCUCUUCCUCUCCUCUCCACCGCCCAAUAUAAAGUGCCUCAAAAGGACAAUAAGCAAGAACAGAUGAGUGAAGGAGCUCCACUAUAGGGCACAGCACUGAAGAUAGGCAGAGUUUGGGCAUUUCCACACUAAAAGAGGACAAAAUUACUCCCACCAAAGAGUGAGCUCAUCACCCCGCCCCCACUCCACCUACAGUGCCAGAGUCUGAGGAAAUGUGUAGAUUGGGCAGAGAGAGGCUGCUCACAGCAGAUACUGUAGGGAUUCAAAAAUAGCCUCAGGGCAAAAACCUCUUUGGAGCUCAAUACAAAGACUUUUCUACCCUCCUCACUCGGACUUCUGCAGGGCAAUCUCUAGGUUCUAAGGGGCUGUCUGGGGACACCACAGACUUACCCUGAGAGAAGGAAGACUUGGGAUUCCAGAAGGCUGAAGAAACACAGCAGACACUGGAGAGACUUAAAAAAUAGCCUCAGGGCAAAAACCUCUCUGGAGCUCAAUACAAAGAUUGCCCACCUUCCUCAUUCAGACUUAUGACCAGGAAGGAACAAAGGAAUAGCCACCAACAACCAAGAACUACAAUCCACAACUAUCAAAAAAAAAGGAACAAAGAAACAAAGAAAAAAGAAAAAACCUUGACCCUAGAUAAUUUUUAUGCAAAAAAACUCCAGAUCAGAGAGGAGAUAGCAAAAGAUGAAAAACAAUUAAACACAUCCAAACAUUCCAAAAG